rnacentral:rRNA from 1 species
AUACGUAGGGGGCGAGCGUUGUCCGGAAUGAUUGGGCGUAAAGGGCGCGUAGGCGGCCUGUUAAGUCUGGAGUGAAAGUCCUGUUUUCAAGAUGGGAAUUGCUUUGGAUACUGAUGGGCUUGAGUGCAGGAGAGGUUAUCGGAAUUCCCGGUGUAGCGGUGAAAUGCGUAGAGAUCGGGAGGAACACCAGUGGCGAAGGCGACUUCCUGGAACAAUACUGACGCUCAUGUGCGAAAGCUAGGGUAGCGAACGGGAUUAGAUACCCCGGUAGUCCUAGCCGUAAACGAUGGAUACUAGAUGUGGGUGUCGCAGGGCAUCCGUGCCGCAGCUAACGCGUUAAGUAUCCCGCCUGGGGACUACGGUCGCAAGACUGAAACUCAAAUGAAUUGACGGGG